rnacentral:rRNA from 1 species
UACGUAGGGUGCGAGCGUUAAUCGGAAUUACUGGGCGUAAAGCGUGCGCAGGCGGCUUCGCAAGUCAGGCGUGAAAUCCCCGGGCUUAACUUGGGAAUUGCGCUUGUGACUGGCGGGCUGGAGUGUGGCAGAGGGAGGUGGAAUUCCACGUGUAGCAGUGAAAUGCGUAGAGAUGUGGAGGAACACCGAUGGCGAAGGCAGCCUCCUGGGCCAGCACUGACGCUCAUGCACGAAAGCGUGGGGAGCAAACAGG